rnacentral:rRNA from 1 species
CCUACGGGGGGCAGCAGUGGGGAAUAUUGGACAAUGGGGGCAACCCUGAUCCAGCCAUGCCGCGUGUGUGAAGAAGGCCUUCGGGUUGUAAAGCACUUUUGUCGGGGAAGAAACCGUCCGGGUUAAUACCCUGCUUGAUUGACGUUACCCACAGAAUAAGCACCGGCUAACUUCGUGCCAGCAGCCGCGGUAAUACGAAGGGUGCAAGCGUUACUCGGAAUUACUGGGCGCAAAGCGUGCGUAGGCGGGUGAAAGCCCUGGGCUCAACCUGGGAACUGCAGUGGAUACUGGCGAGCUAGAGUGUGGCAGAGGAGGGUGGAAUUUCCGGUGUAGCGGUGAAAUGCGUAGAGAUCGGGAGGAACACCAGUGGCGAAGGCGGCCAUCUGGAACAACACUGACGCUGAGGCACGAAAGCGUGGGGAGCAAACAGGAUUAGAUACCCUAGUAGUC